GUCAGAGAAAAGGAGGAAAACAAGGCUGGAACCUUGGGACCACCCCCCUCCCCAACAUUCAGAGGUCAAAGCAGUAAGACGCCAGCAGAGGAACCGGAGUUCUGAAAGGGGAGAGAGGGCUCUGAGGAGGAGGAAGCUGACAGCUGUGUCUUCUGCUACUGAUUAGUCAAGAAAAAUGAGGAAUGACCACUGACCAUAGGAUUUAGCAACUUGGAUGUCACUGUUGGCCUUGAUGGAAAAUUUUGGUGAACACUAUGGUCAGCUGAAUGAAGAAACCAUUAUAUCCACGUGCUCACUGUUUUUAUGCUUGAAAGGGAAGGAAAACAGUCAGAAGAAAGACACUAAGCUUCCUCAAGGGAAGGAUACAGAUAUAGAAUGUCUUUGCUUGGGCUCUUCAAGAAGUAGACCUUGAGCCAAGGAUUUGAGUGACGUAGUUUAUUUCACACCACGAAGCACUUAUUGGGCAGUAGGAACUGAGACAGAGAGAGAAGGAGCCAAUAAAGCAGAUGAUAUGAUAUCACAACAAUUACCACUGUGGCUGGUUGUCAUACUUGACAAGAAAGAUGGUUUGCAAGACAAGCGAUAGGCCCCAUUUCUCCAACUGGCUCUACGGUCACAAUUGAUGUUGAUCAUAUCAUUAGUAUAUUCAUUCCAGACAAUAAUCGUUCUUGUCCAACACUCUUGCCACUCUGUGGGGUAACCGCACCUUCGUCCCUGGUCAUUGUGUUCUGGCCAGACUAUAAUUACUCCUAUUGCCCAAACUGGUUGUCAUUAGACAGGGGAACCAAGGUGGGAAUCUUGGUUUAAAGAAAAGUGAAUAGUCUAAGAGAUCGUCAGGCAUACCAACAUUUGCAUAAUGGGAGUCCUAGAUGAGAGCAGAAAGGGAAAGGAGCAGAAAGAAUAUUUGAAGUAACAAAGGUCCAAAAAAUAUGCCAAGUUUGAUGCAAGACAUAAAUAUGCACAUCUAAGAUCUCAAUGGACCUCAAGGUUCUCACUGAGACACAUAAUAAUUAAACUGUUGAAAGCCAAAAGAAGAAUCCUGAAAGCACUGAGAGAAAUGACUCAUCAAACACAAGUCAUCCUUGAAAAUAUAAACAGUUUAUCAUGAGAAAUCAGAGGUCAAAAGUAGUCAGAUGACAUUCAAAAUAUUGAAAGAAAAAAAUGAUCAACCAGGUAACUAUCCUUCAAAAAAUAAAAGAGAAACGAAGUCAUUUCCAGAUAUCCUAAAACUGAGAGAGUUCACUGCUAGUAAACUUAACCUACAAGAAAUGCUAAAGGAGAUCCUUCUGAUUGAAAUGCAAUUGUCACACUGGGAGCCAUUUUCCCUAUCAGAAGUUUAGCUCCCAUUGCUCUAGCCUCUUGGAUAACCUCCAAGGUCAUAGAUAUGCCUCCAUCCCAGCCUUGGGGCAGGGCAUCCCUGCCAGGUCCACAGGCAUCUAGGAGGCAGUCAGUUCAGGUCUAGUCCAUUUCUACCUGAAGGAAUUCCAAAAGCACAUUCUGGGUAAUCAGCACGGGACAGGCUCUUUGCCUGUUCUGCCACACUCUUACCUCAAGGUCAUGAGCUGCUCACUUCCCGAGUCUGACUCGGGCUGUCCUCUGUAGCCUGAGGGAUUCCAUCAGUCCCCCAGUUUUGGCAUGCUACUAGCUACAGCUAUUCCUCACGGGACUCCAGGAAGAGAUUUGAAUCAGUAAACCUCAAUUUAUCCAAUAUCACCUCCACUUUCUGAGCUCAACUUUUCUGUCAGAAAAGUAGGAUGCAUCCCUACCUUUAAACCAAGAUUCCUACCUUGGUUCCCAUGUAAUCUACCUGAUGGAACCCCAGAAUUGCAUGACUGCGGACACAAUGGAAAGAACAUGGAACUUGAGUUUGACUACUGGCUCUGUCAUGCAAGACAAGUUACUCUAUCUCUCUAGAAGAUUUUCCUUUGAGGAGUAGACAUAUGGCACACGUUUUGGAGAAUUUUAGAGCUUCACCACAUGUACAGUAUUCAGGUCGCAUGACAUUGAAAGGGACUAGAACUCCUGAAUCUCAGGAUUGGAGAAUGGAAUGGUCCUUAGUUCAACCCCUCUUCAAUAUUCUUUACCCCACCCUUUGCUGAGGUUCAUUCAGCAACUUCUCACCUCCAAUGUGGGGAGCUCACGAGACACAAAGGUGAGUCAUUUUUCAUCAUCCACCCAGUUGCCAAUUAGUUGUGUGGCUGCACUUUAAAAAAAUGUCAUUCAAAAGCAACGAAAACGCUUCUCUCAUGGGUAAGCCAUCUGUGAAUAAAAGCUCCAAAGAACCACAGUU